GGAGUCACAAACGGUGAGUCUGCUGGUCAGAAAAUCGAAGGGCUCAAACUCUCACGACUUCGCAGCGAAAGGAGAAGCAUUUUCGAUUUAUUUCGACUGAAUGACGAGGAAGAAGGGAAUCAUCGUUUAUUCAGAGAUCUUCGUCAAAGUUACCAACUUAAAAAAGAAUGGCUGAUCCAGUAAAUCGGGCUUCAGAGAUGAUUCUUUCUCGAAAGUUUAAGACGUAACCACUCGCUCCAGCAUGGCAAAGCAAACUCGAUUACCCCUUCAAAAAGAAACAACUUUAGGCGAGAACUGCAUGGCUGAUCGUCAGACAAAUACAGUACCAGCCAAUCAAGUGAUGGUUAUAGAAAUAAGAAAACCCGCAGAAGAUGUUUACGGUAUCAAGAUUUCAGGUGCUGCUUUGGUUAAAAUCGACUCGGCCGAAAUGAAGUUCUUAACAGGACAGAGCCCUAAGACUGUUAACAGUUCGUCAGAUGAAGAAGAGGAAUUUGGCCGAGAGAUCGAAACAACAAGGAAUAGAAGGCCAAGGUUACCGCAUCUGAAAGACAAAAAACUAUGUACAGGCACUAGAAUCAUUUACAUUCUUCCGAUUGAAAUGCCAGUUGUACCGAAACGGGGAUGUCUGAUUUCUUCAUGGUAUAUUCGUCUCAUAGCAAAGCUGAAAGAUCUACAAGAUAAAGGAGAUUUUGAGGGACAUGAGCAACUGAUACAAAAACAAUUAGCCGAAAGAUCGGCUAAAAACACAGACUUGCAAGCAAGUUUACUGAUCGAGCGUGCAGUUGCACUGUAUAUGCAAAACUAUGUUAAAGACGCCAAGAAAAUUGCUAAAGAUGUCUUGGCUCUGGAGAAACGAAUGCGUAAUCCUGAAGUUCUGACAGCACGAGCUUUGAACCUUCUGACAUCGAUCUACAAAACUCAAACGGAAUUCGGAAAUGCACAAACGUGCGUGCAAAAGGCUACAACAGCUCUUAAGUAUCACGACUCGCCUGUUGAUAGAGCAGAGCUGUAUCAAAGCUAUGGGGGCUUGAUCAGCUCUCUGCUAACCGUAGGAAGUUACGGUCUUGAACUGAAGGAGGAAGCCUACAAUUCUUAUAAAAUAGCACUGGACUGUGCAACUGAUCCUGUUGACAAGGAGUACAUAACUGUCAAGAUGGCAAAGUUAUUACUUGGAAACGAUGAAUUCGUUAGCGAGGACGAUGUUGUACAAGCGAAGAAGCACCUUGACUCCAUUGAAUUCGGAGCAGAAGCUGAUAACAUGGCGGUGGGGACAAAAAUCAAUCUGCUUCUUUUGCGUUCCGAUCAGUUUCGCUUCGAAGGAAACGAUGCCAUGGCAAUGGAGAAAGCGGAAGAGGGGUGGUACUGUAAGAAGAAAUUACAUGGCAGUCGCUCUUAGGGAUAAGAGGAUUGAAGCGAGAGGUCUGGGAACGACAAGGACUAAUUCUAUCCGACCAACGGUCGCUUCAGAAACCAAAAGACAAAAGCAUAGAGGAGAAGUUUCGAGUUGACACAAAAGCUACAGAGGAAGCUGAAAGAUUCAAGAAGAAAGUCCAGAAAAA